rfam:strain 284/09 Stolbur phytoplasma draft.
CGCGGGGUAGAGCAGUUUGGUAGCUCGUCGGGCUCAUAAUCCGAAGGUCAUAGGUUCGAAUCCUAUCCCCGCAA